UACGUAGGUGGCAAGCGUUGUCCGGAUUUACUGGGCGUAAAGAGCGCGCAGGCGGUCGUUCAAGUCGCGUGUGAAAGCCCCCGGCUCGACUGGGGAGGGUCACGCGAUACUGAUCGACUCGAAGGCAGGAGAGGGAAGUGGAAUUCCCGGUGUAGUGGUGAAAUGCGUAGAUAUCGGGAGGAACACCAGUGGCGAAGGCGACUUCCUGGCCUGUUCUUGACGCUGAGGCGCGAAAGCUAGGGGAGCAAACGGG
rnacentral:rRNA from 1 species